UACGAAGGGUGCAAGCGUUAAUCGGAAUUACUGGGCGUAAAACGCGCGUAGGUGGUUUUGUAAGUUGAAGGUGAAAUCCCCGGGCUCAACCUGGGAACUGCAUUUGUGACUGCAAGGCUAGAGUACGGCAGAGGGGGGUAGAAUUCCAAGUGUAGCGGUGAAAUGCGUAGAGAUUUGGAGGAAUACCAGUGGCGAAGGCGGCCCCCUGGCACAAUACUGACGCUGAGGUGCGAAAGCGUGGGGAGCAAACAGG
rnacentral:rRNA from 1 species